UACGUAGGGGGCAAGCGUUAUCCGGAUUUACUGGGUGUAAAGGGAGCGUAGACGGCGGUGCAAGUCUGGAGUGAAAGGCAGGGGCCCAACCCCUGGACUGCUCUGGAAACUGUAGUGCUGGGGUGCAGGAGAGGUAAGUGGAAUUCCUAGUGUAGCGGUGAAAUGCGUAGAUAUUAGGAGGAACACCAGUGGCGAAGGCGGCUUACUGGACUGUAACUGACGUUGAGGCUCGAAAGCGUGGGGAGCAAACAGG
rnacentral:rRNA from 1 species